rnacentral:lncRNA from 1 species
UGAAAACUCAACUAGUGACUCUAUGAUGUGACUAUGUGAUUCUAAAAUUAUAUGAAAGUACUCUACAGCAAAGAGUAUGUGAGUUUCCUUUCAGCCUCAUGCUUAGAGGUCUCACUGUGAGAGACUUUCCUGUCCUCAUUCCGAGCACUGUUCCUAUAUUUUAUGUCUGUAGCAUAUGUCCAUAACUUACUAUUUUUCCUUCGCAGGGGAGGGCACCUAUUGCUAGGCAGCAGAUGCGCACAUCUGCCUGAGAAACGGGAUGCUGCAAAUAAACCCAUGGGAAGUCUGAUGCCAGACGUUCAGGGAAGGUGUCCGAAUGGUGAAAGCAAAGAAAGAAGCAGACUUGAAUAUACCUGGGAGAAAAGUUUGUCCAGAUUUAGGAUGUAUCAGCAUUAUGAAGUCUGGAUUUCAAAUAGCUAAAUCAUUUGCACGAAGUUUCGAAAACAAAAACAAAAACACCACAAUGUUUACAAGCUAUUGAUGGUGGCAGUGGAAAAGCUUUUGCUACUGAUGGAAGGGAAACUGGACUGGCACCAGUAGUGGGAAUGUGACCUCCCCCAGCAGUCAUCAGGGGAGUAAAUAGCAGCCCACACAUUCUCAGAAAACUUUUCAGCAGUCAAAAACAUUUAGCAAUAUGAGAGGAAAGGACAUCUCUGCCCUUAGAUCAAAAAGAAGGAUGUCUGCCUCACUGUGAUGGUGUCCAGAGUCCUGAGCAUUAUAGGAAACAGUACCCUUGCAGGAAGAGCAGCCAUGUGCAGUAUGCCAUCAAAAAACAGUACAACACGUGCACUAAACCCUCAGAAACAGGGUUGUGUCCCUUGAUGGAAAAAAGAAACUAUCCACAGCACACUUGAGAAAUUUUUACCUUCAUGAAUUACAAAGGUUUUUCCAUUUUGUUGUGGUUGUUGUUCUUUUCCAGUUUGUUUUAAAAUGUAACACACUAAGGAAAAUAUAUUGCAAUUGCAACUGUUACCUGUGUGACUUUAGCAGCAGCUUAUCUGUAGUAAAGGUGAAGUUCUUUCCAAGAUCUACAAGCUCAGGAAUCCACUGCGGAAAUGCACCGGUUUUCAGCAAGAAGGCAAAGUGAAGUUAACCAUUUAGCUGGUCAAACAAAGCAAUGUCAAAGUACA